UUAAAACACUGACAAUUGAUUAAUUUUAAGCGGCUACAUUAUACAUAACAAACUGCAAAGAUUGAAGAUACAGUAUUACCCAUACUUUCCUGCAACUUAUCCAAUAUAUAGUUAAUUAAAUACGCCUUCGCCCAUUUAGUACUACUAAAUUGUAAAUUUCGACAUACUAAAACGCUGUUUUCUGACCAUCAGAAUUCGGUCAAAUCUUCCCC